rnacentral:rRNA from 1 species
UACGUAGGGGGCAAGCGUUGUCCGGAUUUAUUGGGCGUAAAGAGCGUGUAGGCGGCCAGGUAGGUCGGUUGUGAAAACUGGAGGCUUAACCUUCAGACGUCGACCGAAACCAUCUGGCUAGAGUCCGGAAGAGGAGAGUGGAAUUCCUGGUGUAGCGGUGGAAUGCGCAGAUAUCAGGAAGAACACCCGUGGCGAAAGCGGCUCUCUGGGACGGUACUGACGCUGAGACGCGAAAGCGUGGGGAGCGAACAGG